rnacentral:rRNA from 1 species
CCUACGGGGUGCAGCAGUGAGGAAUAUUGGUCAAUGGACGAGAGUCUGAACCAGCCAAGUAGCGUGAAGGAUGACUGCCCUAUGGGUUGUAAACUUCUUUUAUAUGGGAAUAAAAUGUUCCACGUGUGGGAUUUUGUAUGUACCAUAUGAAUAAGGAUCGGCCAACUCCGUGCCAGCAGCCGCGGUAAUACGGAGGAUCCGAGCGUUAUCCGGAUUUAUUGGGUUUAAAGGGAGCGUAGGUGGAUUGUUAAGUCAGUUGUGAAAGUUUGCGGCUCAACCGUAAAAUUGCAGUUGAAACUGGCAGUCUUGAGUACAGUAGAGGUGGGCGGAAUUCGUGGUGGAGCGGUGAAAUGCUUAGAUAUCACGAAGAACUCCGAUUGCGAAGGCAGUUCACUGGACUGCAACUGACACUGAGGCUCGAAAGUGUGGGUAUCAAACAGGAUUAGAUACCCUUGUAGUC